ACCACCAUGUUUUCUGCUCCUAUCAUCGAGAUUCCGUGGAUCGAUUGAGCUCCAAAUUAAAGAACAUUGAAGUGAUCACCGCUCUCAGAGAUUCGGGCCACCGGAAUCCGGGUCUUGAAGUUUCUGAAACCCAUUUGGAGAAAGUUGAGAACUUUGGCCUUGUCUUGCUCAUUUGCUAUCUUGGGUACCAGAAAAGGCCACCAAGCUUCAGUUACAGAAAGCCACCCAUUACACUUCCAAAGAUCUUUGCUUUCAACUCUUUCCUCAAUCGGAAGCCAGUUUGCUUGGAUCAAGAAGCUUCGACCAGCCAAGAAGGUUGCUGGGGUGGGAAAGAGAAGAGGAGGGGUUCAAGAUUGUGGUGGACUUAGAGACGAUACACCAGGGCCUUGCCUAUUCCUAAUAAUCAGGGGAUGAAGAAGAGGAUGAAGAGCAGCAAUAUCAUUGUUCAGAUAGCCAAAAGUUUGAGGAGCAAAUUUUGUCUUCUUGGUGCCUCUUUUGGGAUACGGGCUAUGAUCUGGCUUUAAAUCAUAGUCCAUUCUCAACCCGAUAGGCGACCAUUCUCUAUAAGGUACCAGCUCUGGAGCACAAUGUAAAGAUACAAGAAUGUACUAGCAGCGGCUUUUUAUCUGCGAAACUGUUGAUGUUUUAAGAUUUGGGCUUCUGGAGGAUACGCCAUCAAACAGAAAUACUGGAAAUUGUAAUGCCGAUGAUGAUGGGAGUCCUAAUGAAAGUGAUCGGAAAACGCUACGGCCUCCAAGUUGUUCCAAAACAUUCAAUGUUGAAACUAGCCAUGCUGCAAAAAUUCCCAUGAAUUGAGCAUAUCCUUUUUUCAUAUUUCUGAUUAAAUAUAUGUAUUUUCAGCACCUUUCUUAUUUGUACUCCUAUAUGUUUAGAGUGAGA